rnacentral:rRNA from 1 species
CCUACGGGUGGCAGUAGUGAGGAAUAUUGGUCAAUGGCCGGAAGGCUGAACCAGCCAUGCCGCGUGAAGGUCAGUGCCCUAUGGGCGUUAAACUUCUUUUGUGCGGGAGCAAUAAUGGUCACGUGUGGCCAGACGAGAGUACCGUACGAAUAAGCAUCGGCUAACUCCGUGCCAGCAGCCGCGGUAAUACGGGGGAUGCAAGCGUUAUCCGGAUUUAUUGGGUUUAAAGGGUGCGUAGGCUGUGAGGUAAGUCAGCGGUGAAAUGCCCCCGCUCAACGGGGUGAAGUGCCAUUGAUACUGCCUGGCUGGAAUGAGGAUGCCGUGGGAGGAAUGUGUGGUGUAGCGGUGAAAUGCAUAGAUAUCACACAGAACACCGAUUGCGAAGGCAUCUCACGAAUCCGCGAUUGACGCUGAUGCACGAAAGCGUGGGUAUCAAACAGGAUUAGAUACCCCAGUAGUC